rnacentral:rRNA from 1 species
GAUGAACGCUGGCGGCGUGCCUAAUACAUGCAAGUCGAGCGAACAGACGAUGAGCUUUCUCCUCUGACGUUAGCGGCGGACGGGUGAUUAACACUUGGAUAACCUACCUAUAAUACUUGGAUAACUUCGUGAAACCUGAGCUAAUACCGGAUAAUAUAUUUGACCGCAUGGUUCAAUGGUUAAAGACGGUUUUGCUUUCACUUAGACUUGCAUCCAGGGCGCAUUAGCUAGUUGGUAAGGUAACGGCUUACCAAGGCAACGAUGCGUAGCCCGCCUGGGAGGGGGCUCGGCCACACGAGAAGUGAGACACGGUCCAGAACACGACGGGGGGCAGCAGGAGGGAAUGUUGCGCGAUGGGCGAGAGAAUGACGGAGAAACGGAGCGAGAGUGAUGAAGGUCUUCGGAUCGUAAAACUCUGUGAUUAGGGAAGAAAAAAUGUGUAAGUAACUAUGCACGUCUUGAAGGUAACUAACAAGAAAGGCACGGCUCAACACGUG